rnacentral:rRNA from 1 species
GACGAACGCUGGCGGCGUGCUUAACACAUGCAAGUCGAACGGAAAGGCCCUGCUUUUGUGGGGUGCUCGAGUGGCGAACGGGUGAGUAACACGUGAGUAACCUGCCCUUGACUUUGGGAUAACUUCAGGAAACUGGGGCUAAUACCGGAUAGGAGCUCCUGCUGCAUGGUGGGGGUUGGAAAGUUUCGGCGGUUGGGGAUGGACUCGCGGCUUAUCAGCUUGUUGGUGGGGUAGUGGCUUACCAAGGCUUUGACGGGUAGCCGGCCUGAGAGGGUGAACGGCCACAUUGGGACUGAGAUACGGCCCAGAAUCCUACGGGAGGCAGCAGUGGGGAAUAUGGCACAAUGGGCGGAAGCCUGAUGCAGCAACGCCGCGUGCGGGAUGACGGCCUUCGGGUUGUAAACCGCUUUCGCCUGUGACGAAGCGUGAGUGACGGUAAUGGGUAAAGAAGCACCGGCUAACUACGUG